rnacentral:lncRNA from 1 species
CUUUCCCGCGCGACCGGCGAGGGAGGAAGAAGCGCGAAGAGCCGUUAAUCAUGCCGGUGUGGUGGCGGCGGCGGAGCCUGCGGGCCGGUAGCUGGGCUCUGCAAGCAUAUAGGUUGCUGUAGAUGAAUGUUCUUAGCUGUCAUGUUUAAAAAUACUUCUUCGUUACCUCAAGUGUGGCAUGCAGCAUUUUGGAAGGAAAAUUGAAGACUUGUUCAAGAAAACAUGAACAGAAGCAAAUGAUGAAAAUGAGCAUUUUACUUGAUGUUGAUAACAUCACAAUAAAUUAUGGAGAAAAAUAC